UACGGAGGGUGCAAGCGUUGUUCGGAAUCACUGGGCGUAAAGGGCGCGUAGGCGGUUUGAUAAGUCAGAUGUGAAAGCCCACGGCUUAACUGUGGAAGUGCAUUUGAAACUGUCAGACUUGAGUAUCAGAGGGGAAAGUGGAAUUCCCGGUGUAGAGGUGAAAUUCGUAGAUAUCGGGAGGAAUACCGGUGGCGAAGGCGACUUUCUGGCUGAAUACUGACGCUGAGGCGCGAAAGCGUGGGGAGCAAACAGG
rnacentral:rRNA from 1 species